UGGGGAAUAUUGGACAAUGGGCGGAAGCCUGAUCCAGCCAUGCCGCGUGUGUGAAGAAGGCCUUUUGGUUGUAAAGCACUUUAAGCGAGGAGGAGGCUACUUGGAUUAAUACGCUAGGAUAGUGGACGUUACUCGCAGAAUAAGCACCGGCUAACUCUGUGCCAGCAGCCGCGGUAAUACAGAGGGUGCGAGCGUUAAUCGGAUUUACUGGGCGUAAAGCGUGCGUAGGCGGCUUCUUAAGUCGGAUGUGAAAUCCCUGAGCUUAACUUAGGAAUUGCAUUGGAUACUGGGAAGCUAGAGUAUGGGAGAGGAUGGUAGAAUUCCAGGUGUAGCGGUGAAAUGCGUAGAGAUCUGGAAGAAUACCGAUGGCGAAGGCAGCCAUCUGGCCUAAUACUGACGCUGAGGUACGAAAGCAUGGGGAGCAAACAGG
rnacentral:rRNA from 1 species